rnacentral:lncRNA from 1 species
GUUCCUCCUGGGUGGUGGUGGAUUCUCCCCCAGUAAACGAGGGCGGAACCAUCCAUGUUGCUGUGGGGGUCAGCGUGGUGUGGGCCGUCACUAAGGACUACAAAGUGAGACAACAUCCACCCCUUCCUGAACUUGUCUCCUAACCAGGAAGGACUCUGGGCCCCGUUGUAGUCUGUAGAGCAGUACCGUAGCCUACCCUACAGAGCAGAUCUAUAAAGUGUGUGUGUGUGUCCAGGUGUGGUUUCGGCGGGGGGUGAACUCCCAUAACCCCUGUGGCUCAGGAUGGAUCAGCAUCGGUGGGGAGAUGAUGAUGAUGGUGGAUGUGGGACUCAAUGACCAGGUGUGGGGAGUUGGAGAGGACCGUGGUCUGUAUUUCAGGAAGGGUGUCACCCCAUCGGAGCCCAGUGGUAGGGGCUGGAUACCUGUUUCUGCCCAAUGGGGUCACAGCAAAGAGAUGGUCCAACCCAGGUCAGUUGCAUACGGAGUACACACAGAAUGCUCACUUUCCAGUGUUUUUGCAUUGUAUUAGAUUUCAUAUUUUGUAUGCUGACAUCUCAAAAUAAAUAUCCAUGUAAAUGGUAAUUAGAUUCAGCCACAGGUGUUUUAUUUAUUAUAAAACCACCCGCAGGCCGCCAGUUGGAACGCUGGUGUAUAUGUUCUUAAGACUACAUUUAUGCUUAACAAUUACUGUACACAUUACUGUACACGGAGAUGCAGUUUUAUUUUGAUAGUUGUCUGUCAUGUUACCAAAUGAUUUACUGUCACAAACAUACUGUAUGUGUGUCUUUGUGAGUGGUGCAUUUAUACUCAUAUGAGUGUUACCCCCCCCCUUCUGUCUCUGUUGUCCAGUGCUGGCUGUGAGUUCGGGGGACAGGUGACCAAUGCUUCCCAUGGCUCUGUUCUGACCUGCGAGGACUCAGGGGACACAGAGCUCCUCCUCACCACCAUCCCCGCAAGGCCACAGGACACCCCCAAAGCCUUCAUCCCCACCAGUGACAGCUUCAUCUCCAGCCUGGUGGCUGACCGUGAGCCCCUGAGGACCCCCACACCCUCCCCCAAAAAGCCACCCCAGGGGAAGGACAGCGAGGCCACCCCAGCCCCGAUGUGCAAUGUGGACCUGGACACAGCUCAGAGCCCCCAGGGAGAGGCAUCUUCUCUUGGCAGGGCAAGGGAUGUGGGACCCCCCACCUCAGUGGCCACCUACCCCCUGGGUCUGGAGCCCUCUCUGGGUUUGGGGGAGGAGGACGGGCCUGUAUGGGCCUGGAUCUCUGGCGGAGGCUGUGAUGUGGACCAUACAGCUCAGAUGACCUGGCUUAGGCCUGCAGACCCAUGCUCCACUGCCCUGUCCAUCGCCCCUGUUGAACCAGAAGCCUCGACGGCUAGGAAGGCCGAGACCACCAGCAGUAAGGAACCAGUGGAGAGAAGCGCGGUAAGACUGUUAAACUAUUAA